ACCUGAUGAUGUGGGCAUUUAUGGAGUAGGUCCCUAAAGCAUUCCCAAGUCUUGAAAAAGAGUUCCACAUCCAUCUAUGAAAAGCUUGUGAUGACUCUCUGAAGUU